GAUGAACGCUGGCGGCGUGCCUAAUACAUGCAAGUCGAGCGAACAGACGAGGAGCUUGCUCCUCUGACGUUAGCGGCGGACGGGUGAGUAACACGUGGAUAACCUACCAAUAAGACUGGGAUAACUUCGGGAAACCGGAGCUAAUACCGGAUAAUAUAUUGAACCGCAUGGUUCAAUAGUGAAAGACGGUUUUGCUGUCACUUAUAGAUGGAUCCGCGCCGCAUUAGCUAGUUGGUAAGGUAACGGCUUACCAAGGCAACGAUGCGUAGCCGACCUGAGAGGGUGAUCGGCCACACUGGAACUGAGACACGGUCCAGACUCCUACGGGAGGCAGCAGUAGGGAAUCUUCCGCAAUGGGCGAAAGCCUGACGGAGCAACGCCGCGUGAGUGAUGAAGGUCUUCGGAUCGUAAAACUCUGGUAUUAGGGAAGAACAAAUGUGUAAGUAACUAUGCACGUCUUGACGGUACCUAAUCAGAAAGCCACGGCUAACUACGUG
rnacentral:rRNA from 1 species